GAUGGAGAACGUAGCGAAAUGCGAUAAGUAAUGUGAAUUGCAGAAUUCAGUGAAUCAUCGAAUCUUUGAACGCACCUUGCGCUCCUUGGUAUUCCGAGGAGCAUGCCUGUUUGAGUGUCAUUAAUAUAUCAACCUUCUCUUUUUUGAGUUGUUUGGAUGUGGGGGUUUGCUGGCCUCUUAAAUGAUUCAGCUCCCCUGAAAUGCAUUAGCAGAACAACCUGUUCAUUGGCGUGAUAAUUAUCUAUGCUAUUGAAUGUGAGGGCAGUUCAGCUUUCUAACCGUCCUUGGACAAUUCAUCAUUAAUGUGACCUCAAAUCAGGUAGGACUACCCGCUGAACUUAAGCAUAUCAAUAAGCGGAGGA
rnacentral:misc_RNA from 1 species